GCACUACCGAGGAGUUCCACAAUAGGACGAAAUGGCCGUCCAGUGC
rfam:Schistosoma margrebowiei strain Zambia genome assembly, scaffold: SMRZ_scaffold0001699